rnacentral:tRNA from 1 species
GCUCCAUUCGUCUAGUGGCCUAGGACAUCGCCCUUUCACGGCGGUAACACCGAUUCGAAUUCGGUAUGGAGCGCCA